rnacentral:lncRNA from 1 species
CCAAAUUCCCCACCACCGCCACACUCACAGCCCCCGCCUCCACCACCAGUUUAUUCUUCACCACCGCCUCCUGUCAAUUCUCCACCUCCCCCAUAUCACUCUCCUCCACCUCCCCCAUAUCACUCUCCUCCACCUCCAUCACCCCCACCUUGUAUAGAACCGCCUCCACCUCCACCACCAUGUGUAGAGUAUUCACCCCCCCCACCCCCUCAAUCGCCCCCCCCACCUUCUCCACCAUCACCAGUGUAUUCUCCUCCACCGCCUCCUACUCCACCUCCCCCACAAUCAUCACCGCCACCACCACCAUCCCUGUCUCCCCCGCCGCCUCCUACACCACCCCCACCAUCUCCGUUACCUCCAUGUGUACGUUCCCCACCACCGCCUCCACCAAAUUCACCACCACCUCCAUCACCAAUAUUCUCCCCACCACCACCUAUUCCUUACUAUUAUAACUCCCCACCACCCCCAUCACCUCCACAUUCGCCUCCACCUCCACAUUCGCCUCCACCACCAGUUUAUCCUUACUUAUCACCUCCACCACCACCUCCUGUCAAUUCUCCACCUCCCCCAGUUUAUUCAUCACCGCCUCCACCCCCACCUUGUAUAGAACCGCCUCCACCUCCACCUCCACCAUGUAUAGAGUAUUCACCACCUCCACCCCCACCUUCAUCGUCACCGCCUCCUCCUAUACAUUAUAAGCCAC